UACAGGGGGUGCAAACGUUGCUCGGAAUCAUUGGGCGUAAAGCGCACGUAGGCGGUUCGUUAUGUCGGAUGUGAAAGCCCUUGGCUUAACCGAGGAAGUGCAUCCGAAACUGGCGAGCUAGAGUACUAAAGAGGAUCGCGGAAUUUCCGGUGUAGCGGUGAAAUGCGUAGAUAUCGGAAGGAACACCAGUGGCGAAAGCGGCUUCCUGGUCCGACACCGACGUUCAGGCACGAAAGCGUGGGGAGCAAACAGG
rnacentral:rRNA from 1 species